GCUAGUGUGGUAUAGUGGUUUGAGUGCUGGAGACUACAACUCUGGAGACCAGGGUUCAAAUCCGUACUCAGCC
rnacentral:tRNA from 1 species